rnacentral:rRNA from 1 species
UACAGAGGGUGCGAGCGUUAAUCGGAAUUACUGGGCGUAAAGCGCACGUAGGUGGCGACGUAAGUCGGGUGUGAAAGCCCCGGGCUCAACCUGGGAAUUGCAUUCGAGACUGCAUUGCUGGAGUACGGAAGAGGAAGGCGGAAUUCCCGGUGUAGCGGUGAAAUGCGCAGAUAUCAGGAGGAACACCAGCGGCGAAGGCGGCGCUCUGGGCCGGAACUGACGCUGAGGAGCGAAAGCGUGGGGAGCAAACAGG